UGGGGAAUAUUGGACAAUGGGCGCAAGCCUGAUCCAGCCAUGCCGCGUGAGUGAUGAAGGCCUUAGGGUUGUAAAGCUCUUUCAGUAGGGAAGAUAAUGACGGUACCUACAGAAGAAGCCCCGGCUAACUUCGUGCCAGCAGCCGCGGUAAUACGAAGGGGGCUAGCGUUGUUCGGAUUUACUGGGCGUAAAGCGCACGUAGGCGGAUCGUUAAGUCAGGGGUGAAAUCCUGGAACUCAACUCCAGAACUGCCUUUGAUACUGGCGAUCUAGAGUCCGGAAGAGGUGAGUGGAACUCCUAGUGUAGAGGUGGAAUUCGUAGAUAUUAGGAAGAACACCAGUGGCGAAGGCGGCUCACUGGUCCGGUACUGACGCUGAGGUGCGAAAGCGUGGGGAGCAAACA
rnacentral:rRNA from 1 species